UACGAAGGGGGCUAGCGUUGCUCGGAAUCACUGGGCGUAAAGCGCACGUAGGCGGCUUUCUAAGUCAGGGGUGAAAUCCUGGAGCUCAACUCCAGAACUGCCUUUGAUACUGGAGAGCUAGAGUCCGGAAGAGGUGAGUGGAACUGCGAGUGUAGAGGUGAAAUUCGUAGAUAUUCGCAAGAACACCAGUGGCGAAGGCGGCUCACUGGUCCGGUACUGACGCUGAGGUGCGAAAGCUAGGGGAGCAAACGGG
rnacentral:rRNA from 1 species